rfam:Salmo salar isolate Sally breed double haploid chromosome ssa13, whole genome shotgun sequence.
UGUAUUCACUACUGUAAGUUGCUCUGGAUAAGAGUGUCUACUAAAUGACUAAAA